rnacentral:rRNA from 1 species
UACGGGGGGGGUAAGCGUUAAUCGGAAUUACUGGGCGUAAAGCGCGCGUAGGCGGUUUUGUAAGUCGGGUGUGAAAUCCCCAGGCUCAACCUGGGAACUGCAUUCGAGACUGCAUAGCUAGAGUAUGGGAGAGGGAAGUGGAAUUUCAGGUGUAGCGGUGAAAUGCGUAGAUAUCUGAAGGAACAUCAGUGGCGAAAACGACUUCCUGGACCAAUACUGACGCUCAUGUGCGACAGCGUGGGGAGCAAACAGG